GAUGAACGCUGGCGGCGUGCCUAAUACAUGCAAGUCGAGCGAACGGACGAGAAGCUUGCUUCUCUGAUGUUAGCGGCGGACGGGUGAGUAACACGUGGAUAACCUACCUAUAAGACUGGGAUAACUUCGGGAAACCGGAGCUAAUACCGGAUAAUAUUUUGAACCGCAUGGUUCAAAGGUGAAAGACGGUCUUGCUGUCACUUAUAGAUGGAUCCGCGCUGCAUUAGCUAGUUGGUAAGGCAACGGCUUACCAAGGCAACGAUGCAUAGCCGACCUGAGAGGGUGAUCGGCCACACUGGAACUGAGACACGGUCCAGACUCCUACGGGAGGCAGCAGUAGGGAAUCUUCCGCAAUGGGCGAAAGCCUGACGGAGCAACGCCGCGUGAGUGAUGAAGGUCUUCGGAUCGUAAAACUCUGUUAUUAGGGAAGAACAUAUGUGUAAGUAACUGUGCACAUCUUGACGGUACCUAAUCAGAAAGCCACGGCUAACUACGUG
rnacentral:rRNA from 1 species